rnacentral:rRNA from 1 species
AGCAGCCCAGAGCCUGAAUCAGUAUGUGUGUUAGUGGAAGCGUCUGGAAAGGCGCGCGAUACAGGGUGACAGCCCCGUACACAAAAAUGCACAUGCUGUGAGCUCGAUGAGUAGGGCGGGACACGUGGUAUCCUGUCUGAAUAUGGGGGGACCAUCCUCCAAGGCUAAAUACUCCUGACUGACCGAUAGUGAACCAGUACCGUGAGGGAAAGGCGAAAAGAACCCCGGCGAGGGGAGUGAAAAAGAACCUGAAACCGUGUACGUACAAGCAGUGGGAGCACGCUUAGGCGUGUGACUGCGUACCUUUUGUAUAAUGGGUCAGCGACUUAUAUUCUGUAGCAAGGUUAACCGAAUAGGGGAGCCGAAGGGAAACCGAGUCUUAACUGGGCGUUAAGUUGCAGGGUAUAGACCCGAAACCCGGUGAUCUAGCCAUGGGCAGGUUGAAGGUUGGGUAACACUAACUGGAGGACCGAACCGACUAAUGUUGAAAAAUUAGCGGAUGACUUGUGGCUGGGGGUGAAAGGCCAAUCAAACCGGGAGAUAGCUGGUUCUCCCCGAAAGCUAUUUAGGUAGCGCCUCGUGAAUUCAUCUCCGGGGGUAGAGCACUGUUUCGGCAAGGGGGUCAUCCCGACUUACCAACCCGAUGCAAACUGCGAAUACCGGAGAAUGUUAUCACGGGAGACACACGGCGGGUGCUAACGUCCGUCGUGAAGAGGGAAACAACCCAGACCGCCAGCUAAGGUCCCAAAGUCAUGGUUAAGUGGGAAACGAUGUGGGAAGGCCCAGACAGCCAGGAUGUUGGCUUAGAAGCAGCCAUCAUUUAAAGAAAGCGUAAUAGCUCACUGGUCGAGUCGGCCUGCGCGGAAGAUGUAACGGGGCUAAACCAUGCACCGAAGCUGCGGCAGCGACGCUGAUGCGUUGUUGGGUAGGGGAGCGUUCUGUAAGCCUGCGAAGGUGUGCUGUGAGGCAUGCUGGAGGUAUCAGAAGUGCGAAUGCUGACAUAAGUAACGAUAAAGCGGGUGAAAAGCCCGCUCGCCGGAAGACCAAGGGUUCCUGUCCAACGUUAAUCGGGGCAGGGUGAGUCGACCCCUAAGGCGAGGCCGAAAGGCGUAGUCGAUGGGAAACAGGUUAAUAUUCCUGUACUUGGUGUUACUGCGAAGGGGGGACGGAGAAGGCUAUGUUGGCCGGGCGACGGUUGUCCCGGUUUAAGCGUGUAGGCUGGUUUUCCAGGCAAAUCCGGAAAAUCAAGGCUGAGGCGUGAUGACGAGGCACUGCGGUGCUGAAGCAACAAAUGCCCUGCUUCCAGGAAAAGCCUCUAAGCAUCAGGUAACAUCAAAUCGUACCCCAAA